UUUUGCAUAAUGAGCCUGCGAGUUGUGGUGUCUGGCAAGGUUAAGCAAACGCGAAGCCGUAGCGAAAGCGAGUCUGAAUAGGGCGCUUAGUCAGAUGCUGCAGACCCGAAACGAAGUGAUCUAUCCAUGAGCAAGUUGAAGCUAGUGUAAGAACUAGUGGAGGACUGAACCCAUAGGCGUUGAAAAGCCCCGGGAUGACUUGUGGAUAGGGGUGAAAGGCCAAUCAAACUUCGUGAUAGCUGGUUCUCUCCGAAAUAUAUUUAGGUAUAGCGUUGUGUCGUAAUAUAAGGGGGUAGAGCACUGAAUGGGCUAGGGCAUACACCAAUGUACCAAACCCUAUCAAACUCCGAAUACCUUAUAUGUAAUCACAGCAGUCAGGCGGCGAGUGAUAAAAUCCGUCGUCAAGAGGGAAACAACCCAGACUACCAGCUAAGGUCCCUAAAUCUUACUUAAGUGGAAAACGAUGUGAAGUUACUUAAACAACCAGGAGGUUGGCUUAGAAGCAGCCAUCCUUUAAAGAAAGCGUAAUAGCUCACUGGUCUAGUGAUUUUGCGCGGAAAAUAUAACGGGGCUAAAGUAAGUACCGAAGCUGUAGACUUGCACACAACUUAGAUUAUUUAAGUUUAGAAUAUGAGAAACUAAGUUAUAUGUUUAGUUAUAUUUUUACUGAUUUUUAUAGAGUAAAGAUAGAAAUAAAACUUAGUAAAAUCAGUAAAAAUAUUCUUAGACUAAAGUUAAGUAGUUUAAGUUGUGUGCAAGUGGUAGGAGAGCGUUCUAUUUGCGUCGAAGGUAUACCGGUAAGGAGUGCUGGAGCGAAUAGAAGUGAGCAUGCAGGCAUGAGUAGCGAUAAUUAAUGUGAGAAUCAUUAACGCCGUAAACCCAAGGUUUCCUACGCGAUGCUCGUCAUCGUAGGGUUAGUCGGGUCCUAAGUCGAGUCCGAAAGGGGUAGACGAUGGCAAAUUGGUUAAUAUUCCAAUACCAACAUUAGUGUGCGAUGGAAGGACGCUUAGGGCUAAGGGGGCUAGCGGAUGGAAGUGCUAGUCUAAGGUCGUAGGAGGUUGUACAGGCAAAUCCGUAUAACAAUACUCCGAGAACUGAAAGGCUUUUUGAAGUCUUCGGAUGGAUAGAAGAACCCCUGAUGCCGUCGAGCCAAGAAAAGUUUCUAAGUUUAGCUAAUGUUGCCCGUACCGUAAACCGACACAGGUGGGUGGGAUGAGUAUUCUAAGGCGCGUGGAAGAACUCUCUUUAAGGAACUCUGCAAAAUAGCACCGUAUCUUCGGUAUAAGGUGUGGUUAGCUUUGUAUUAGGAUUUACUCCGAAAGCAAGGAAACUUACAACAAAGAGUCCCUCCCGACUGUUUACCAAAAACACAGCACUCUGCUAACUCGUAAGAGGAUGUAUAGGGUGUGACGCCUGCCCGGUGCUCGAAGGUUAAUUGAUGGGGUUAGCAUUAGCGAAGCUCUUGAUCGAAGCCCGAGUAAACGGCGGCCGUAACUAUAACGGUCCUAAGGUAGCGAAAUUCCUUGUCGGUUAAAUACCGACCUGCAUGAAUGGCGUAACGAGAUGGGAGCUGUCUCAAAGAGGGAUCCAGUGAAAUUGUAGUGGAGGUGAAAAUUCCUCCUACCCGCGGCAAGACGGAAAGACCCCGUGGACCUUUACUACAGCUUGACACUGCUACUUGGAUAAGAAUGUGCAGGAUAGGUGGGAGGCUUUGAGUAUAUGACGCCAGUUGUAUAUGAGCCAUUGUUGAGAUACCACUCUUUCUUAUUUGGGUAGCUAACCAGCUUGAGUUAUCCUCAAGUGGGACAAUGUCUGGUGGGUAGUUUGACUGGGGCGGUCGCCUCCCAAAUAAUAACGGAGGCUUACAAAGGUUGGCUCAGAACGGUUGGAAAUCGUUCGUAGAGUAUAAAGGUAUAAGCCAGCUUAACUGCAAGACAUACAAGUCAAGCAGAGACGAAAGUCGGUCUUAGUGAUCCGGUGGUUCUGUGUGGAAGGGCCAUCGCUCAAAGGAUAAAAGGUACCCCGGGGAUAACAGGCUGAUCUCCCCCAAGAGCUCACAUCGACGGGGAGGUUUGGCACCUCGAUGUCGGCUCAUCGCAUCCUGGGGCUGGAGCAGGUCCCAAGGGUAUGGCUGUUCGCCAUUUAAAGCGGUACGCGAGCUGGGUUCAGAACGUCGUGAGACAGUUCGGUCCCUAUCUGCCGUGGGCGUAAGAAGAUUGAAGAGAUUUGACCCUAGUACGAGAGGACCGGGUUGAACAAACCACUGGUGUAGCUGUUGUUCUGCCAAGAGCAUCGCAGCGUAGCUAAGUUUGGAAAGGAUAAACGCUGAAAGCAUCUAAGCGUGAAGCCAACUCUAAGAUGAAUCUUCUCUAAGCUCUCUAGAAGACUACUAGUUUGAUAGGCUGGGUGUGUAAUGGAUGAAAGUCCUUUAGCUGACCAGUACUAAUAGAGCGUUUGGCUUAUCUUU
rnacentral:rRNA from 1 species